CGGGGCGUGGCUCAGCCUGGUAGAGCGCUGCGUUCGGGACGCAGAGGUCGUGUGUUCGAAUCACAUCGCCCCGA
rnacentral:tRNA from 1 species